CUGGUGUAUUCGACCUCCUGCAAGCAAUAGUUAGAGCCAGAUACAUCUGCGGAGAAUUGCUCAUGUAAUCUUUUUGUUGUUAACUUUUUGACUUUAAUUGAUCAACGUGUCGCGAUCCUUCUCAUCAACCAACUCGGGGGGAUCGGAGAUCCCGACAGCGCGGACUUAAUAUCCAGCAGACCCCGGGGUUGGACAGAAACAAGGGAAGGAGAGAGGAAUUUGGGGCUAAGAAGAUAGACGGAGCGGAGGGGCACCGCUUUGCAGACAGGUGGACGGGUAGCAACAGAGGACUCAUUGUCCGCGGCUCAAUCAGACGGGCAGGUGUGCCGCUCAACACCCGGCAGCACGGCGCACUCCUUGACUCCUGGCCUCCUCCCGGACAUCCCUGUCCUCGUGCAGUCUUAUUACUGGGGCUCGAUGCGCCUGCAGUCGUGGGUGGAGUGAUAUUAAGUUUGUCUUAAUAUUGACGGAUUAGAAAAUACCACGUGAUUCUUUUAGAAAGCUCGCCACGGCAUGAGGUAUCGCUUGAACCCGAGAUGGGCCAUGGACUCAUACGGUUGAAAUGAAGGGAACCGUGUUGAGUUCGUAAUUAAUCAUUUAUUAUGCGCACAUGGCUAUGAGGUGGAAUUGUCUGUUGGUGAAAUAUUGUUGAAGUGACAGAGCGUUCGCUUUUAAAAGACAUAACGUCAGGAAUAAAAAGAAUUGUGAUUAAAUAUUCCAAAGCAAUGAAUGCAAAGAGCAGCGGGUGCAGUGAGUGAGUGAGAUAUAGUUGCAGAUAUAUUGAAGUUUAAAGAAGGCAAUUCUGCCAAGCCGGGCCAAGGUUGAUAAAUCUGUCAGUGGUGCCAAGCUACACAGAUCCAGGUUACUGUAGAACUUGACUUUGCUGCUCCCCAGCUGGCUUGGACCUCAUCCAGAGCCUCAUACUAUAUCCUGGACCCUUUCCAAGCCCCUGGUCUGUCCUUACCCAGCCUCGGUCCACAUUGUUGUGUUGUGGAAUAUUUCAAUAAAAGCUCGGUAGAAGAGAAUGAUUUGUCUGAUAAAACAGAGUCUUGAUGAAUGAUCAAAGUUGCAAAAAUCCAUUUAUUGCUUGCAAGCAGGAGGUC
ensembl:lncRNA